UACGUAGGGUGCGAGCGUUGUCCGGAAUUAUUGGGCGUAAAGAGCUUGUAGGCGGUUUGUCGCGUCUGCUGUGAAAAUCCGGGGCUCAACCCCGGACUUGCAGUGGGUACGGGCAGACUAGAGUGUGGUAGGGGAGACUGGAAUUCCUGGUGUAGCGGUGGAAUGCGCAGAUAUCAGGAGGAACACCGGUGGCGAAGGCGGCAUCCUAGACCGAUAUUGACGCUGAGGCGCGAAAGCCAGGGGAGCAAACGGG
rnacentral:rRNA from 1 species